UACAUAAACCACGACGGGACACAAACCUA
rnacentral:sRNA from 1 species